AUUGAACGCUGGCGGCAGGCCUAACACAUGCAAGUCGAGCGAGCGGCGGACGGGGGAGCAACGUAGGGGGACUGCCCGCUCGCGGGGGAUAACUACUGGAAACGGCAGCUAAUACCGCAUACUAUCGGAUAAACCAUAUGGGAUUCGCGAGUGGGUGGGGUAAUGGCGCACCUAGGCGACGAUCCAUAGCUGGUCUGAGAGGAUGAUCAGCCACACUGGGACUGAGACACGGCCCAGACUCCUACGGAGGCAGCAGUGGGGAAUAUUGCACAAUGGGCGCAAGCCGGAUGCAGCCAUGCCGCGUGUAUGAAGAAGGCCCUAGGGUUGUAAAGUACUUUCAGUCGGGAGGCGUUACCGACAGAAGAAGCACCGGCUAACUCCGUGCCAGCAGCCGCGGUAAUAC
rnacentral:rRNA from 1 species